rnacentral:rRNA from 1 species
UACGGAGGGGGGCUAGCGUUGUUCGGAAUUACUGGGCGUAAAGCGCACGUAGGCGGCUUUUGUAAGUUAGAGGUGAAAGCCCAGGGCUUAACCCUGGAAUUGCCUUUAAGACUGCAUCGCUAGAAUCGUGGAGAGGUAAGUGGAAUUCCGAGUGUAGAGGUGAAAUUCGUAGAUAUUCGGAAGAACACCAGUGGCGAAGGCGACUUACUGGACACGUAUUGACGCUGAGGUGCGAAAGCGUGGGGAGCAAACAGG